rnacentral:rRNA from 1 species
AGAGUUUGAUCCUGGCUCAGGAUGAACGCUAGCUACAGGCUUAACACAUGCAAGUCGAGGGGCAGCAUGUUGGUUGCUUGCAACCAACGAUGGCGACCGGCGCACGGGUGAGUAACGCGUAUCCAACCUACCCUUGUCCAUCGGAUAACCCGUCGAAAGGCGGCCUAACACGAUAUGCGGUUCACAGCAGGCAUCUAACGUGAACGAAUGUAAAGGAGAAGGAUGGGGAUGCGUCUGAUUAGCUUGUUGGCGGGGUAACGCCACAAGGCUACGAUCAGUAGGGGUUCUGAGAGGAAGGUCCCCCANAUUGGAACUGAGACACGGUCAAACUCCUACGGGAGCA